AUACUGCAGUCGAGCGGACCGACGGGAGCUUGCUCCCUUAGGUCAGCGGCGGACGGGUGAGUAACACGUGGGUAACCUGCCUGUAAGACUGGGAUAACUCCGGGAAACCGGGGCUAAUACCGGAUGCUUGAUUGAACCGCAUGGUUCAAUCAUAAAAGGUGGCUUUUAGCUACCACUUGCAGAUGGACCCGCGGCGCAUUAGCUAGUUGGUGAGGUAACGGCUCACCAAGGCGACGAUGCGUAGCCGACCUGAGAGGGUGAUCGGCCACACUGGGACUGAGACACGGCCCAGACUCCUACGGGAGGCAGCAGUAGGGAAUCUUCCGCAAUGGACGAAAGUCUGACGGAGCAACGCCGCGUGAGUGAUGAAGGUUUUCGGAUCGUAAAACUCUGUUGUUAGGGAAGAACAAGUACCGUUCGAAUAGGGCGGUACCUUGACGGUACCUAACCAGAAAGCCACGGCUAACUACGUGCCAGCAGCCGCGGUAAUACGUAGGUGGCAAGCGUUGUCCGGAAUUAUUGGGCGUAAAGCGCGCGCAGGCGGUUUCUUAAGUCUGAUGUGAAAGCCCCCGGCUCAACCGGGGAGGGUCAUUGGAAACUGGGGAACUUGAGUGCAGAAGAGGAGAGUGGAAUUCCACGUGUAGCGGUGAAAUGCGUAGAGAUGUGGAGGAACACCAGUGGCGAAGGCGACUCUCUGGUCUGUAACUGACGCUGAGGCGCGAAAGCGUGGGGAGC
rnacentral:rRNA from 1 species